GAAAAAGGGCUUGAUUAAUAACAAGAUCUCUAAUUAUGAUUUAUAGUGAAUAUUUAAUUUAUUAAUUGGUUUAGAGUAAUUUUUUGAAAUGGUUUUUUUACUAUAGUGGAUAAGUACUGUGAAGGAAAUUUUGAAAUAGUUGAAAAUUUAAUAUAAGAUAAGUAUUUUUGUUAAAGGUACCUUUUGUAUCAGGGGCUAUUAAAAUUUAUUUUUAUAUAAAUAUUUCUCGAAAAUAAAAGAUUUAAUAAAUUUAAAUGGUUUUUGUGGUAAAAAGAUCGUUGAAAAUUUAUUAGGGGUGAUAUGUGAAUCGAUUUUAUUAAUAUCUAGUAGACUUUGAAAAAAAUUUAGUUUUGAAGGUUAGGAAUAGAAUUAAUUUUUUUAAUUUUGUUUAAAUAUUUUCAUAUUUCUUAAGGGUUGAGCUUUAGGAAAUUUUAAUAAUUUGGUAAUAAAUUGGUUUUAAGCUAGGCUUAGAAUUAGCUACUUGAAAGUUUUAUAAGAUAGAAUUUUAAGUGAAUUAUUUAAUUAAGUUUUAAUAUUUAAAUGUCUAAAUUCUUGAAUAAAAUAGGAUUAGAAAUAAUGAUAGUAUGAGUAGAUAAGUUUAUUCGGAAUUAUUUUUAAGAUUUUCUAGAAAUUUUUUUUGUUUAAUUAAUAUAGUAAAAGAACUCGGCAAAUAAAAUUUCCGAAUGUUUAACAAAAACAUUUCCUUCCUUUAGGAAGGUAAGGCCUGCUCACUGAUUUUUAAAGAGCCGCAGUAUUUUGACUGUGCAAAGGUAGCAUAAUCAUUAGUCUUUUAAUAGGAGGCUGGAAUGAAUGGCUAAACGAGAAAUUGACUUUUUUUAUUAUAAGGUUUGAAUUUAAUUUUUUAGUGAAAAAGCUAAAAUUUUCUAAAAAGACGAGAAGACCCUAUAGAGUUUAAUUUUUUAUUAAAGUAGAAGUUUUUGGUUUUUAUGAUUUCAGUUUUGUGUUAAAAUUUUGUUGGGGUGACAUUGAGAUAUAAAAAACUCUUAAUAUAAAAGGACUUUGAUGAAAGUAAGAUGAAUUGAUCCUUUAUAAAGGAUUAAAAGUUAAAUUACCUUAGGGAUAACAGCGUAAUCUUUUUUGAGAGUUCUAAUCGACAAAAAGGUUUGCGACCUCGAUGUUGGAUUAAAUUUAAGGCAAGGUGUAGCCGCUUUGUUUUUAGGUCUGUUCGACCUAUAAAAAUUUACAUGAUCUGAGUUCAGACCGGCGUGAGCCAGGUUGGUUUCUAUCUUUUAGGUUUAGAAAAUUGGUUUAGUACGAAAGGAUUGAUUAAUUAUAAUAAUUAUUUAGAAGUUUGAGUAUCAUUAAAUUUAAUAAAAUAAGUUUGGCAGAAUGUAUGUAUUAGACUUAGAAUCUAAAAAUGAGAAUU
rnacentral:rRNA from 1 species